rnacentral:lncRNA from 1 species
GGAAAAAGCUACCACACAGAGACACAACACUGUCUCCUUCUUUUCCUCUUUCCUCCCGCACGCCACCCCCCCACCCGGCCACCCCCACCCUCUCUCUCUCAGGUUAACUCAGAAUUAUGCAUUUUUAACAGGCUGAAUCAAAAUAUUACCACUAGCAAGGAAAUCCUUAUGAUAAAGCACACUAGGUAAAAGGUCUAUCUGCCUACGUCUAUAACCCGUAAAUCACUCUAAAAAUCAAUAUGAACAGAGACCAUUAGCCAAAACCCUGAUUAAAAAAUCUCAAUAGAAACAUGAAAAAGAUACCCUGCGUCUCAUAAAACGCUUUGGUGGUUCACGGUUCCUGCGGUCAGUGCGUGAGCGAACCCUCACCACAUGCGAGUGAAUUGCACAGGAGACACAGUACUGCAUCUUUGCAUACAACUUAGGCAGAACAUAGUCUGCAUCAAAUGCAAAAGAUUCCCAUUAUUUUCCAUUCAAACAAUACAUAAUUAAUUACAAAAUAAGAGAAAUAAUAACAUGUGUAGCAGAUAUUUACUGUCAUAGAUGCAGGCAUCCUGCACGUCUCUAACAGCAGCUUGCUCAACAAUGUUCCUCACAAGGCAUAUUAAUUAAUUUUUAAAUGCAAACUUAACAUCAAUACAACAACUCUAGUCUAACUAUAGAUUUGACCAAUACAUCCGCAAAAUUUAUCAUGACACGAGUUUACAAAAAUAUGGAAGAAUUGAAAAAAUUAUUCUUCUUUCCCGUAAUGCCACACAAUUGCCUCAUUUGGGAGGGAAAAAUUCUCAAUGUUGUUCAUUUUUAUCAAAAUAAACAAAAAAAAAAAAAAACAGGGAAUCAUAUAAUACUAAUAAUAAAAAAACAGAUAGAAUUUUAAUUAAUGAAAGCGAUACAAAAAUAAAAACAAAAGUGUAUACUUUGGGGCAGCAUUUGCCGUUCCGACGCUUGAAGGUCUGCCACAGAAAAAAAAAAUAUAAUAAAUCAAAUUUAUAUUAAAUAAAAACAAUUCUUCUUUUUUCAAUAAUAAUAUUUUUGGAAAUCAGAAAGAUAAAACAUUUUCGCAAACCAUUCUGUUUUCUUCAAGGGAUGAUCUCCCCUUUCCAAUUUUUGACAACCACGCCUAAUCCAAUCAUCAUUUCUUCUGAAGUUGACAUUGCUGCAUGAGUAAAAAAGAAUGUUAAAAUUGAAUUAUUCAUUUGGAAGAAUAUCAUGACGCAAUUAAACAAAAACUGAAUAUUUUAUCUUUCGUACUCUCUCAAUAAUUUUGACUGCAUACUUUUUCUGAAAAAAAAAAAAAAAAAACUCAUAUCUAGAUUCAGUCACAAAGCCAAAUCUCUCUAAUCAUACGUCUAUAUUAAGAAACACAAAUAAGAGAUUCCAAGAACUUGUUAACACCCUUUUGGAAUAAUUGAUUCUGGAUUUUCAUACUUGGAUAAUGGCUUUUGCUUGGAUAUCUCUCCAAUCACUCAAACCCUUUCACACAAUUGAUUGAAUCUCACUUGCUUGAUUUAUAUUACAUCGAGAUUUUGAGCCUGGCAUGGUUAAGGAGUUUUAAAAGUGUAAAAAAUUGAGUGAUUGAAAAAUGGGAGAAACCUGUAGUGUAACUGUGGUACUGUGCCAAAGUUGCAUUCAGUCGUUGGAUGUCAGUGGAUCCUACUAAUCUAAGUGCAUCCAACGGCUGGAUACAACUGUGGCAUGGUACCACAGUUGCACCGUAGCCUGAUCCUGAAAAAUAAUAGAGCUGAAAAUGAGAGAAAAUUUAGAAUUAUGGGAAUUUUAUUGGGGAAGAAAAAGUAUUGUAAACUCAAUGAUGGGGUGAUUAAGAAAUAGGCCGAAUAAAAAAUAAAAAGAAUUUAAAUAUCAUCACUCAAAUUUAAUUGUAUUUUUAUUAAAAACAUUAACCGGUGAUUUCUAUUUAAAGGAAUAAUAUUUAAGUCCCUCAAAUUUUUUAUUUUUAACUGCUUGUAUCUUUUUCUAAAACUUAUUAUACUCAUAAGAUAUCAAUAUUUAAUGUUCAAAAUGACUUUUUCUAAAUAUUAAAACAAUUAUUAUUAUUAUUAUUAUUAUUUGUUGUAAUAUAGUGGUAGGGAUAAAAAUCUAAGGGUGACAAAAAAAUUGGUAUUUAAUAGAAUUUUCGUAAUGACAAAAAGUAAAUGGACCCAAGUGAUAAAACAAUAUAAUUGAUGGACAAAAGAUCAUUUUUCAUUUGUGUUGCCGACACCGUAGUUUGGUUUACGCUUCCCGACCCAUGAUAUUCAAGUCCCGGUACCUUUGUCAUCCCAUAAAAUUGUCCAUAAUUAAAAUAAGGCAUGUUUUAUAUUCUGUGGCUAAUAUUUAGAGCAAAUGAAUUUUCCAAGUCCUCCCAUAAAGAUAUCAUAUCCCAACAUAAUCUUCAACCAUUUUAAUGGUUAAAAUUACAAGAGAAGUCGUAUCUAUGUUUUAUCACAAUUGUUUGGCAACCACCAAAUUGGCCGUAUAAAGCCAUUGAUGAAUCAGAAAAAGAUACCAUUGUCGAAAACUUGGCCAUUGUGGUCCCUGAUGUAUAAAACUGACCAUAGGAUUAGCAAAGGUUUGUCAGCUAGCGGAACUUACGUGUACGUCAUGCACACUUAAAUGUUAUCUAUAUACUGUGUAGGCAUUGCUCUGAACUAACCUCUUCAUUCAGAGUCCCCGAGUCAGCUGCAAGGGAAUGGCCAUGAAUAAUCUUUCAGCAGAAUCAACUGUUGCUGCAGCAAUUUCAGCCUUAGUGAUAUUCCUCUCAAUUUUCCUCUUGAUUUCAAGAAAUGGGCAAAAAAGGACACUCAAGAAUAAGCAAGCUCAACAAGCACCGGUAGCAGAGGGAGCAUGGCCUUUGAUAGGCCACCUACAUCUCUUACGAGGGCCAGAGCCAGCUCACAGAGUUUUGGGCAACCUGGCUGACAAAUAUGGAACAAUAUUCACUAUGAAGUUGGGGGUGAAACAUGCUUUAGUGGUGAGCAACUGGGAAAUUGCCAAGGAGUGUUUUACCACAAAUGACAAAGCUUUUGCAGGUCGCCCCAAAACAAUGGCCGUAGAGCUUAUGGGGUACAACUUUUUGGUCAUAGGCUUCGCACCAUAUGGCAACUACUGGCGUCAGUCACGUAAGAUAGUGACAAUUGAGCUUCUGUCAAAUCGUCGCCUUGAGAAGCUCAAACACGUACGUGAAUCUGAAGUGAAGGCUUCAAUCCAGAGGUUAUACAAGAAUUGCAUAAGUAGCAGCAGUUCACGUAAAGUAGUUUCGGUGGAGAUGAUCCAUUGGCUCGAGGGCACAGCACUUGACAUUAUUUUGAGAAUAAUUGCCGGAAAACGUCACACUUCACAAUCAGAAGAGGCUAAUGAUUGGCAACAGCAAAUAACAAAGAUCGCUGCCUUGUCUGGUCAGUUCGUGGUGUCCGAUGCGUUGCCCUUUCUGAGACGGUUAGAUAUCGGUGGAUAUGAGAGAUUAAUGAGCAAGACAGCUAAAUAUUUUGACAUCAUUUUGCAAGAAUGGGUGGAUGAGCACAAGAUGAAAAGAGUUUCUGGUGAAGUUAAGGGCGACGAGGAUUUCAUAUAUGUGUUGUUGUCCCUACUUGAUGAUAAUGCAGAGCAGCUUCCCGAUUGCGAAGCUGACACUGUCAUUAAAGCAAUCUGCUUGGUAUAAUAUAUCCUCAUGAAAUGCUUGUGGUGUGUUUGUGUUUGUAUUGUAAUAUGAAUGUCACAGAUUUCUUACUGCUUUUAAUUUGCAGACUCUAAUCGUAGCGGCUGCAGAGACCACAGUAGUUACAUUGACAUGGGCUAUUGCUUUACUUCUCAACAAUCCCGAGGUUCUGAAGAAGGCACGAGAUGAAAUAGACAUUUAGGUUGGCACUGAAAGGCCAGUGAAUGAAUUAGACACGAGAAAUUUGGUUUACUUGCAGGCCAUUAUCAAGGAAACAAUGCGUUUAUACCCUGCUGGACCACUUUUACUACCUCACGAGUCUAUAGAAGAAUGCGUCGUCAAUGGUUACUGUGAGAUGAAUGAAUCAAGUUUGGUUCCAGAAACGACCACGUUUUGGAGCUGUAAAGCUUCAUUAAACUCACGUGCUUCUCAGCUGGUUAGCAACAGAAAACGAAUUGAUCAAAACGACAGGACUUGAGCGCGUUUUGCAUAUCAGUUUAAGUAACCACGUGAGGAAGCAUGUGACGAAGGUUAUCAGAGUUCGUUAAGGUUGUUAAACCACGUGGCAUCGAGCUGUUUAUUCUGGAAAUCAAGCUGGCUACCUAGAACAGAGUAUAAAGGCUGAGUUUCUGAGGUGAUUCAUGACGAUCUUCAUGAGUCUUGCAGAGAGGGUUUGCAAAGAGAGAAAGUGUUAAUCUGUUCUCUGUAACGUCUGUUGUAAGGCUCUGUAACAAUCUCCAUUGUAAUAUCAAUAAAGCUCAUCUUGAGGCUUCUCCCGUGGAUGUAAGCUGAGCAUUCCAUGCUCAGCUGAACCACGUUAAUCUUGGUGUCUGUGGUUCUUUUCUUGGUUCUUGUUUCAGUUUCUUGUUUGUGUUCAUUGCUAUUGUGCUUUGUUGUUCUUGGGUGAAUUCGUCUGAAUAAAUCUUGGGGGUGUGCAACUUGCAUUGACUAAAUCACAAGCAUCCUAGGGCAGUGGUCAGUUUAGUUUGGUUAUAGGCUUGCUGAUUCACUACAAUUGGUAUCAAAGCUGUGGUGUUCUGUGAUCAAGUCCAAGUAUGGUGUCUUCUAAGGUCGAUAUAGAAAAAUUCACAGGCAAGAAUGAUUUCAAUAUGUGGAAGAUUAAAAUGGAAGCCUUGCUGAUCACUCAGGGUUUGGGAGAUGCAUUUGAGCCUGAAAUGAAGGAAGGUAAAGGGGUUUCUUCAUCAAAGACUCCAGAGGAAUUUGCUGAAAUUCAUAAAAAGGCCAGGAGUACAAUAAUCCUGAGUCUUGGUGAUUCUGUCAUUAGAGAAGUGGCCAAAGAAAAGACAGUGGCUGGAUUAUGGAGCAAACUGGGAAGUCUUUAUAUGACCAAGUCUCUUGCAAAUAGACUCUACAUCAAGAAGAGGAUGUUUACACUGAAAAUGGUGGAAGGAGCUUCACUGGAAGAACACAUUGAUGAGUUUAACAAGGUAUGUGAUACCCUGGAAACCAUUGAUGCAGCUUUGGAUGAUGAAGGGAAGGCUCUCUUGCUUAUCAGUUCAUUACCAAAGUCCUAUGAAAACUUGGUUGAUGCCCUGAUGUAUGGAAGACAAACCCUAACACUUGAUGAAGUAAAAUCUGCCCUGAAUACUAGGGAACUUCAAACUAAGCAAGGACAUUUGGAGAAUAGUGGAAGUGAAGGACUGACAGCAAAUGUGAAGACUAACAAGAAGAAGAAGAAAGGCAAAUCCAAGAACAAAGAAAGAGAUCUAAAAUGCUUUCAGUGUCACAAAGAAGGCCAUUUUAAGAAGGAUUGCCCAGAAAAGAAAUCAAAGACAAAAGAUUCAAGAAAUCAAAGUGGAGAUGCUGCUGUAGUAGAAGAGGAAGGAUAUGAGUCUGCUGGUGUAUGUGUGGCAACAGAAAACAGCCAAAAAGGUAAAUGGGUUCUGGACUCUGGAUGUACCUUUCACAUGUGCCCUUUUAGAAAUUACUUUAAUGAAUAUCAAGCAUUUGAUGGAGGUAGAGUGAUGAUGGGUAAUAACUCUAUUUGUAAAAUCAUUGGAAUUGGGAAUGUAAGUCUUAAACUACAUGAUGGUUCUAUAAGAGUACUUAGGCAAGUCAGGCAUGUACCAGACUUGAAAAGAAAUCUAAUUUCUCUUGGAGUGUUGGACCAAAUAGGGUGUAGAAUUAAGCUUGAAUCUGGUGAAUUGAGUGUUCUGAAUGGUUCAAACCUAGUCAUGAAAGGGACUAGGAAGAAUGGGGUUUACAUCUUAGAUGGUGAGGUGAUAUCUGGAGUAGCUGAUGUAUCCAUUAAGCAUACUGAAGAUAAAACCAGGCUAUGGCAUAUAAGGUUGGGGCACAUGAGUGAGAGAAGGUUAAAAGAGCUAGCAAAACAAGGGUUGUUUGGUUCUGACAAGAUUGGAAAUCUGGAGUUUUGUGAAGAUUGUGUUCUAGGGAAGUCUUCAAGGGGAAGCUUCAAAAGGUCUAGUCAGAAAUCAAAUGAGAGGCUGGAUUAUGCACACUCAGACUUGUGGGGGCCUGCACAAUGUGUAUCUCUGGGAGGGAAUAGGUAUUUUUUAUCCAUCAUAGAUGAUUUCUCUAGGAAAGUCUGGGUAUAUGUGUUAAAAAACAAGGAUCAGACUUUUGAGAAGUUUAAAGAAUGGAAACAGAUGGUAGAAAACCAAACUGGAAAAAGAUUGACAAAACUGAGGACUGAUAAUGGUCUUGAAUUCUGCAACCAGCCAUUUGACAACUUUUGUGCAAAUGAGGGUAUAGCAAGACACAGGACAGUAAGGAUGACCCCACAACAGAAUGGGUUAGCUGAGAGGAUGAACAGGACCCUUAUGGAGAGGGUAAGAUGUAUGCUGAUUCAGUCCAAACUCCCAAAAAUAUUGUGGGCAGAAAUCUUACUCACAGCUUGUUACCUUGUCAACCUGAGCCCCUCUACUGGAAUCAAUUUCAAAACACCUUUCGAAACGUGGUCAGGGAAAACUGCUGACUAUGGGAUUCUUAAAGCUUUUGGCUGCCCAGCUUAUGUUCAUGUCAGUCAAGGUAAGCUAGCUGCUAGAGCCUUGAGAGGCAUUUUCAUAGGCUAUCCAGAAGGAGUCAAAGGGUUUAAAGUUUAGUGCACUGACCUUAAUCUACCAAAAUGUAUAGUAAGCAGGGAUGUGGUGUUCAAUGCGGGCAGUUUGAUGAAGAUGAAUCAUGAACCUGAUCUGGAAACUGAAAAUUCAAGACUAACAGAGAAGUUAGAGUUUGAGGUGGAGCCAUCUACUUUCAGAAACACAACUGAAGCUGCAGAAUCAGAUGAUGUUCCUGAAAUCACUGAUGACACACAGGCACCUCAAGAUCAGUCAAGUUCUCAGGAGCAAAUCAGAGAAUACCAGCUCACCAGAGAUAGACAAAAAAGGCAGAUUAAACCAACAAGAAGAUAUGGCUAUGCAGAUUUAAUAGGUUUUGCUCUUGCAGCUGCAAAAGAUAUAGAUGAUGAGGAAACAAAGAAUUUUAAGGAAGCAACCCAGAGCCUGUUCAAAGAAGNNNNNNNNNNNNNNNNNNNNNNNNNNNNNNNNNNNNNNNNNNNNNNNNNNNNNNNNNNNNNNNNNNNNNNNNNNNNNNNNNNNNNNNNNNNNNNNNNNNNNNNNNNNNNNNNNNNNNNNNNNNNNNUAAAUGGAUCUGAACCAAGGAGAUUCAAGGCCAGACUUGUGGCCAAGGGUUAUACACAAAAGGAGGGGAUAGAUUUUAAAGAAGUGUUUUCUCCAGUGGUCAGACAUGCCUCAAUUAGAGUUAUAUUAGCCAUAACAGCUGUGCAAGACAUGGAGCUUGAUCAACUCGAUGUCAAGACAGCAUUUCUGCAUGGAAGGCUUGAGGAAGAAAUACUGAUGUCCCAGCCUGAAGGGUAUGAGAUCCCAGGGAAGGAAGACCAUGUGUGUCAGCUAAAGAAGUCACUCUAUGGGCUUAAGCAGUCUCCCAGACAGUGGUACCUCAGAUUUGAUGAAUUCAUGCAACUACAUGAGUUUAUCAAAUGCAGCUAUGACUGUUGUGUUUACUACAAGACAAUCAAGGAUGGUUUGUACAUAUACCUCCUUCUAUAUGUAGAUGACAUGUUGGUUGCUUGCAAAGAUAGAGAAGAAAUUGAUAAGCUCAAGGUGCUGCUGAAUUCAGAAUUCGAAAUGAAUGAUUUGGGGUAUGCAAGGAAGAUUCUAGGAAUGGAGAUCAGAAGAAAUAGAAGUAAAGGGAUCAUGUUUCUAUCACAAGAAAAAUACUUGAGAAAGGUGUUAGAAACAUUUGACAUGAGCAAGGCUAAACCUGUGCAACUACCAUUGGCUUCACAUUUCAGGUUAAGCAAUUUACAGUGCCCUCAAACAGAAGCUGAAAAGCAAGAUAUGGCAAGUGUACCCUAUGCAAAUGCAGUAGGCUGCCUUAUGUAUGCAAUGGUCUUAACUAGACCAGACACAUCUCAUGCUGUCAGUGUAGUCAGCAGAUACAUGGCACAACCUGGGGAAGACCAUUGGAAGGCAGUAAAAUGGAUACUCAGGUAUCUCAAUGGCACUGUAAAUUGGGGUCUGAUGUAUGGCAAAACAGGAGCAAGUAAUGAGGUUCUGAAGGGGUAUGUUGACUCAGAUUAUGCAGGGGAUUUAGAUAGGAGAAGGUCUCUUACAGGAUACUUGUUCAUGUUAAAUGGUUGUGCUGUAAAUUGGAAGGCAACACUACAAAGUGUAGUAGCUCUUUCAACUACUGAAGCUGAGUAUACAGCUGCUACAGAAGCUGUAAAAGAAGAACUUUGGCUCAAGGGGUUGGUGACAGAGCUGGGAUUACAUUAGAAGUCAGUAUCAGUCUAUUGUGACAGCUCAAGUGCCAUACACUUGAGUAAAAACCCUGCACACCAUGAAAAGACAAAGCAUAUAGACAUUAAGCUCCAUUUUAUCAGAAAUGAAGUGUCAAGGGGUGCUGUGAAAAUGGUGAAGAUUCAUAUUGAUGAGAAUCCUGCAGAUGCAUUUACAAAGGUGAUUCCUGUGGCUAAGUUCAGAGCUUGCCUGGACCUAGCUGGCUUGUGCAGUCAGUAAUAUGUGUUGUGCAAAUUUUAAUGUACUCGCAAGCGCACGAAUCUAUUGUAGUAUAGACUAAUGGUGACGAGUGUCGAUCCCACGAGGAGGUGGAUUUUAAUUAUAUGUAGAAUUAAUUUUGUAAAUGGGUAGUUGGAUUUAUGGUGGAAAUGAUUUGGAAUAUACUAAUAAUUAAAUUAAAAUGGCGAGAAUAAAUUCUAAAAUUGGAAUUGCAAUUGAGAGAAUAAAUUGAAGAGAAAAUCUAUUAAAUUGACGUACUUGGGUAUCUGGAUCCGUAUCAACAUGCAUCAUGGGCUAAAUAUUCCUUAGUAAUACCAAUUAAAUCAUGAGGGGGGAAUCCACACCUCAUGAACCACGCUCUAAUCAAUAUGGUGCUAAGGGCUUAUCGUGCCAAAUAAUAAUAACCUUGUACCAGAGGGCCGGUGAAACCAAGGCGGUACUAGACAAGAUUAGUAUUAUUUGUCGACGAGAAGUCAAAACAUCCACAAAAACUAGAGGGGAAGAGAAAAUAAAUUUACCAAAUUAAGCCCGUGACACAUGUUGAGACUUCACCUUCAACCCAAGCUUGAAAGAAAAUUAGCCACUCAUAAUUGAACUAGGGGCAAAAUGGGAAUUUAUUAAAAUACAAAGAAAAUACAAGAUGGAGAGGGAAUUACAGAAAAUGGAUCCCAAAAAUGGAUUCAGAGAUAUCAAAUUAGGGGGGGGAGGCCCCCUUUUUAUAGAUACAUGGAGUAAAUCAUGGCCAUCGGAUUAAAAACAGUUUGGACGCUCAGGAUUGCGCCACGUCAUCAGUCAACAGUCCACGGUUUGACCACGCGGAUGAACAGUAACACGGUUUGACCCGACUUUGAACAGUAACGCGGUUUGGUUGAAAAUAAUCCUGUGUGAUGCAUGCACCGUACGCGAGAUUUUUCGUCCACUGAUAUGCUGCCACGUCACCAUCAACAGUGCAUAAGAAUUUUAGUCCAACAGGAUCGUGACACCUCAUCAGUCAAUGCCACAUCAUCGGUCAAUGCCACGUCAUCAUCCGUUUAUGUGAACAGUGUCGUGAACAGUAACGUAUACAGUACCGUACACGUGAAUAGUACCGUACAUGUGAAUAGUGCCAUUUUUCCUUUUAUGCUCCUCCUAAGGUUUUCGACCGUCCUGAGUUCAAAAGUGAUGUCCGUUUUGCCGUCUGAUCUCUCCUUUAUUGUGAAAUGACUAUAAUGCCCCUAAAAUACAUAAAAUACUUAAUUAAAAUAAAACACAUGUAAUUAAAUCACAAGAAGGUUAAAUAUAUAACAGUAAGGGUUGUUAGUAAGACUUAAAAUGUAAAAUGACGGUUUUCUCCUUUAUAAAUAUGCAUUUUCUAACACUCAACACACCCCCCAACCAGCUUAUUGCUAGUCCCUAGCAAAUAAAGCGAAAAUAAAAUUCAAAUUCAAAAUAUAUAUAUUUUUUUAAUAGAAACACUCGUAUUUAUUCCAUCAGAUUAAUGAUAGCAAUCAAAUAAAAGUAUAAGCAUUAUCUCCAGUCUAAAGCAACAUCACACCCACAUCAACCAUCCACAUGAAUUAGCCCAGUAGACUUUGUUUUAGCUACUCUCAAGAAUGACAUGUCAAACCCCAAAAUCUCACUGGAAGUAGUGACACUCUCACAAAUAAAUUAAUCCCAAUAAAAAUAGUCACUCCAAUGAAUGGUAAUUGAGAGAGAAAAUAAUAAAGAAGUGAUAUCACAUGCUCUCACCAAGAUGAAAUAAAUAUGCCCUCAGCUUAGAAAUAAUACGAUCUCAAGUCAAAUAAAAUGUUAGUCAACCCACUUUAUUUAUCUUUUUUUUUUUUAAUUAUGCAUCACUACAUCUUUUUAGCCCAUAUAACUAUCUUCUACUUCGGACUAUAGUUCCCUAAAAUCAAGAAGGACUUUUAUUAGGACGUAACGUAGGCUAGGGACAUGGUUAACAAAGAAGGGAAAUAAGGAAAACAAAGUGUAUGUUUGAGAAAAAUGCAGAGAAUUUUUUUUUUUUUUUUGGAAGUUGCAAGGUGGAUUUCACCUAUUUUUAUUCUUUUGAAACAACAACUUUUGUUUUUGUUUUUGUUUUUGUUUUUUUGUUUUUGUUUUUUUUUUUUUUUGCUUUUAUUUGGCAUAACUUCACUGAACAAAAUAAUUAUUUACAUUUUCUCAAACAUAAAUAGGUGAUGGAACUUAUAAGACAUCGGGUAAUACUCCAAAUCGGAGUGGGUCAAGAUGAUAAGUUGACAAAGAAAAUGUUUUUUUUUUUUAAAGGCUCAAAAGGGUUAACUAUGGAUAUUUAAUAAAAUGGAUGGCUAGAAAGGCUCAAACGGAUCAAAGAUGGCCUUUCCAUCGUCUUUUAUGGCUCUGAAUAACCUUCCAUAUCUACUAGUUAGAUGGGCCUCCAAAUGUAGCAACACACUUUUUUUUUUUUUAUUAAGGGUUAACUCAAAAGAAAUUUAGAGAUCGUGUAUACAAUAAUAAACUGUUAAGCUGUAUAAAGAAUGGGCAAAAGGGUUACUCUCCAAGAAAAAUGAUAGGCUCAAAAACUCACUUGGUACUUAUUAUGACAUGUUCAUUCCUUCAAGCAACUCAUAUAUGUCUCCAACAUCAACAUGUAGAGUAGCAAACAUAAUGUAACAUCACUUAAGACCAAAGAUAAUACAAAUACUAAAAUUUAAAUUAAUCAUGUCACCCAAUGUUAAAACAAAUCAAAAAAAAAUUUUUUUUUAAAAAAAACAUUCUACCCCCCAACCUAUUCUAAACAUAAAAAAGAAAAAAAUAUGCAUGCAGAAAUGUGAAAAUGAUGUAGAAAAAUUAAUUUAGAAAAGUUACAUUUAAAAUGAUAGAAAAGAAAAUGAUUUUUUUAUUAUUUUUUUUAAAGAAGAUGCGUUUCUAGAGGAACUACACUCCAUAUUCAGCCAUCUUCGACUCAAAAGUUGGAAAAUGCAUUUUUAUAGAGGAUAAAUUAAAAAGAAGAAAAAUAAACAUAAACACAUAAUAAAGAAAAAAGAAAAUGUCUUAAUUUUUUUUUUUAAGUUUUUUUUUUUUAAUUUUUUUUUUAAACUAUGAAGAUGCGUUUCUAGAGUCACUACACUCCAUAUUCAGCCAUCUUCAACUCAAAAAGUUAGCAACAGUUAGUUUCUACAACAAAAAAUUAGUAAAAACUUAACCAAAAUUUCAUAAUUGUCGACUAUUCCCUCCCCCCAACCAGAACGAAACAUUGUCCUCGAUGUUUGAAAUGAAAGAAGUAGAGUUUAGAAGACAUCACCUGGGUGGUGCAACACAGAAGAAAAUAUUUACAGGCGGAGAGUUAAAUCUAAUUUGUACUUCUUACUGCUGCUACUGUUACCAUCAUUAUUUGGGCGCUCCAACACAAAGGUCCAGGGGUCUAGCUCCGGUUUAUACGCUUGUAACAGAUCAAGUAGCUCAUUAGCAGUGUGAGCACAAAUAAAGAGUUUUUUCACAUUAGCGGGAAUGAAAUAGUUUUUUAUUGCAUGGUUAAGAAAUGCGAUAAAGCCAUCAUAAAAGUUAUUGACAUUUAACAAACCGAUGGGUUUUUGGUGGAUGUGCAGAUGGGCCCAAGAUGCUAGCGUGAUAAGUGCCUCUAGUGUUGCAAGAUCUCCUGGAAGGAAAAUAAAAGCAUCAGCAUGAUUAAGCAUUUCAGUUAUUCUUUCUUGCAUACCUGAGACGACUAACUCUUCUCCAGUUGAUGAGUCAGACGAACUGCCCAAUGGUUUUAAGACUCUUGGGAUGAUGCCUAACACUUGACUUCCUCUGAUAAAAGCUGCUUCGGAGACCAUUUUUGAUAACCCUCGAUUACCUCCUCCAUACACCAAGUGUAAUUUUCUCGCUGCUAUGCUUCGACCAAGAUCUAUGGCUGCCUCAACGAACUCUUUAUGUUUGCCAUAGGUAAAUCCAGAAAGCACACAAAUGUUCUUGAAUUGUCUAUUGGAAGUAGCUGCCAUUGUGAUACUUCUCGAAAACAAUUUGUGAGUGCUUGACAAAAAAGAAAUCACAUUUAAGAGUCUUGGUGAUAGUGGGUCAUGGUUGUGUAUGAGGUAAUAUGUCAGUGUCAAAUAACGCGUAAAGCACGUGGCUCGCAAGUCAAAAAGAAAACAGUAAAAAGGAAAAAGCAAACAGUAAUAAAAUUAUUAAAGACAAUAAUGCAAACAAUAAGACAAUAGUGAAAUAAAAUAACAAUAAAGUAAAAGGAUAUUUACAGGUAGUUGCGACUGUGGCUCACAUCUUCCUCUGGUUUUACGUCCAGAAACGGCUUGAACGCCCUCUAUGGGUCGAGGAUAGGCUUCCUAUCCAGUUUUCUUAUAAACUGGCAAACAGGGUCGUUUAUAGUCAGAUUCCCGAGACUAUAUCGUGCAUGCUCUUUCUGGAAUAACGGCCAUAACUGGAGAAUCGCUCCUUGCACAUAUCCACUGGGAUGCGUUUCAAGAGACAAAAGGAUAUCAUCCAAUGACUCCUUAUUCAAGCCAUCCCUAAUGAAUUGAAUCUUAUCUUCCCUGUUAUCAGACACCAUUCCUAAAGAACAUGGGUUUUUAUUGCAACUCAUUCUGGCACACUUAUGACAAGCAACAGAAAUUCUUCGAGCUCGUCGUUUUCUUGCAUAAUUUCCUUUACCACAACCAGGCAUGUAUGCAAUAAAUUUUGGAGGUAACUCACCUGCCGAUCGUACUUUAGCCUCGAUUAACCAACGGAUGUCAGCAGGUAUGUUAUUCCUCAUGAGUAAUCGCAUGCGUUCGGACCGAGCUUUAUAGAUCGUAAGGAGGGCAUUCUGAGGAAGUGAAGGGAAUCGCUUGUGAAGCUUCGCUAGAAUCUCGUUUCUGUCCAUACCUUCGCCUCAGAAUAUCAGUUAUUAUGGGAAACUGAAGUAACCGACUUGAUUGUCACGGAGUACCGUUAUCCGCCAUUUCACCGGGGUAACAAACUAAAGCACACAAAUAGAAAAACAAAUUAAAACACACAAAGAAAAUUAAAAUCGUCCUCUUAUUGAAUUUACCUCAAGCUCCAACUGGAUGUCGUAAACACUUCUCUCAAUGUCUCUGAGUUGGUGUUCUAAACCCUCAACAUAGGCUACUAACUCUGGUGGUUGUAGAGCCCAAAUGCGAUGUGUUUUACAAAAUUGAAUCUGUCUUUUGAGAUGAGUUUUGACACGUUGAAGUGGUUUAAGAAUGUUCAGGAGGAACGGUCUAAGUAUGAGACUCAUGAUUAAAAAUGAUAAGAGAAAACUUAAUGGUAAAAUAAACACACUUAUGCAAAAACAAUUUCAAUUAGCAAAAGAAUAAUAAUAAAAAGAAAGAAAGAAAAAUCAAAUCAACGAAAAGAAAAAAAAAUCAAUUCAAAUUUGGUGGGUCACUCAAAUUUAUUUCGGUGUCUUCUUCAUGUGGUUGGUACUCUAGAUAUGGCUUUAAUAUUUGACCAUUAACUUUAAACGUGACACCAUUCUUUGGGUCUUUAAUUUCAAUUGCCCCAUGUGGAAAAACAGUAUGAACAAUAAAUGGGCCAGACCAUCGAGAGCGUAACUUACCUGGGAAUAGGUGCAAGCGAGAAUUGAAUAAAAGCACUUUCUGACCUGGGGUGAAAGAUUUUCUCAUAAUUUGCUUGUCAUGGAAGACUUUCAUUCGUUGCUUGUAAAUCUUGGCAUUUUCGUAUGCAUCAUUGCGAAUUUCUUCAAGUUCUGCCAGUUGUAAUCUUCUUUCUGAGUUGGCUUGCUGCAUGUCAAAAUUGAAUUUCUUGAUGGCCCAAUACGCACGAUGCUCGAGUUCCACAGGUAGGUGGCAAGCUUUUCCAUACACUAGCCUGUAGGGUGACAUCCCAAUCGGGGUCUUGAAAGCCGUUCUAUAUGCCCAUAAUGCAUCAUCAAGUCUUAAUGACCAAUCUUUUCUGUCUGGCCUCACCGUUUUUUCUAAUAUGUGCUUUAUUUCUCGAUUGGAGAUCUCAACUUGGCCACUGGUUUGCGGAUGAUACAGGGUCGCCACUUUGUGUGUGAUUGAAUACUUUGUCAAAAGAGCCUUGAAUGCUUUGUUACAAAAGUGGGCACCACCAUCACUGAUUAUCGCUCGAGGGAAUCCAAAGCGUGAAACAAUGUUGCUUUUCAAAAAUCCUAUCACCACUUUGUGAUCAUUGGUCCUACAUGGAAUUGCUUCUACCCAUUUCGAGACGUAGUCAACACCAACCAAUAUGUAUUGAUGGCCAAAAGAAGGGGGAAAGGGUCCCAUGAAGUCGAUACCCCAUACGUCAAAAAUCUCAACCACUAAAAUUGGAUUUAGUGGCAUCAUGUUUCUUCGUGUAAUGCUCCCCAUUCGUUGACACCUAUCACAUGAAGAACAGAAAGUGUAAGCAUCUCGAAAUAUAGUUGGCCAAUAGAAACCACAUUGUAAAACUUUUGUAGCUGUUUUCUUAGCACUGAAAUGGCCUCCACACGCUUGUUCAUGGCAGAAUGAAAGAAUAUUCUGAAUUUCAUUUUCAGGGACACAUCGUCUAACAAUUUGGUCUGCACAAUACUUGAACAAAUAUGGGUCAUCCCAAAAGAAAUUCUUUAUUUCUGCAAAGAAUUUAGCCUUAUCUUGCUUGGUCCAAUGCUCUGGAAGUUUACCUGUAACAAGAUAAUUAACUAUAUCAGCAUACCAAGGUAAUACUUCCACAUUCAUUAAUUGUUCAUCUGGAAAUGACUCAUUCAAUGGUAAUGAUUCUGUAAUUGUGUCAAAAUGGAGACGAGAGAGGUGGUCCGCCACAACAUUCUCUGUCCCUUUUUUAUCUUUGAAUUCCAAGUCAAAUUCCUGCAAAAGUAACACCCAACGAAUUAGUCUGGCUUUUGCAUCUUUCUUUGUGAGAAGAUAUUUAAGAGCAGCAUGAUCUGUAAAUAUAAUUAUUUUACAACCAAUGAGAUAUGAUCGAAAUUUUUCCAAUGCAAACACUACUGCUAGCAUUUCUUUUUCAGUAGUUGAAUAGUUCAACUGUGCAUCAUUCAAUGUCAUACUAGCAUAGUAAAUAACAUGGGGAAUUCGAUCAACUCUUUGUCCUAAUACUGCUCCUACUGCAUAAUCAGAUGCAUCACACAUUAGCUCAAAUGGUAAGUUCCAGUUUGGGGCCUGAAUGAUGGGUGAUGAUGUCAACAAAUGCUUUAAUUUUUCAAAUGCCACAAGACAUGAAUCAUUAAAGACAAAAGGUGCAUCCUUAGCAAGUAAAUUGCAUAAGGGUCUAGAAACUUUGCUAAAAUCUUUAAUGAAACGUCUAUAAAAACCAGCAUGCCCAAGGAAAGAUCUUACUUCUCUGAUUGUUUUAGGUGGAGGAAGAUUAGAAAUGAGAUCCACCUUGGCUUUGUCAACCUCAAUACCUUUGCUCGAAAUGAUGUGACCGAGAACAAUACCUUGUUUUACCAUAAAAUGGCAUUUCUCCCAAUUUAAGAUCAAGUUCUUCUCGAUACAUCUCUGCAGAACUAGUGUUAGAUGAUGUAAACAUUGAUCAAACGAGUCACCAAAGACAGAAAAAUCAUCCAUAAAGACUUCAAGGAAUCGUUCAACCAUAUCAGAAAAAAUGCUCAACAUGCAUCGUUGAAAUGUAGCAGGUGCAUUACAUAAUCCAAAUGGCAUUCUCCUAUAUGCAAAUGUGCCAAAAGGGCAAGUGAAAGUAGUUUUCUCUUGAUCUUUUGGUGCUAUGGGAAUCUGAUUAUAUCCUGAGUAACCAUCUAGAAAGCAGUAAAAUUCAUGGCCUGCUAAUCUAUCAAGCAUUUGAUCAAUAAAUGGUAAAGGAAAAUGGUCUUUACGUGUGACAGAAUUCAAUUUUCUAUAAUCAAUGCAUACACGCCAUCCUGUAGUCACUCUAGUGAGUAUCAAUUCAUUAUCAGCAUUGGUAACUACUGUGACUCCUGACUUUUUAGGGACAACUUGUACAGGACUGACCCAUGAACUAUCAGAAAUUGGGUAAAUGAUACCUGCAUCUAAUAGCUUAAGGACUUCAGUUCUAACCACUUCUUUCAUAUUAGGAUUUAACCGACGUUGCAUUUCCCUAGUAGAUUUAGCAUUUUCAUCAAGGUGAAUGUAAUGCAUGCAGUCUACUGGAUUUAUACCUUUGAUGUCUGCUAUGGUCCAUCCUAAUGCUCUUUUGUGCUCUUUUAAAACAUCCAACAACUUACCUUUUUGUUCAUCAUUUAGGGAUGAUGAGAUGAUUACCGGCAGAGUACUUUCUUCUCCCAAAAACGCAUAUUCCAUAGUGUUGGGCAAUGGUUUGAGCUCGAGUUUCGGUGGUGAUUCUGAUGAUGGAAUGAGUUGCUUCUCUGAUGGUGCUAGUUGCUCAACUCUUGACUUCCAUUUAUUAGUAUCCAUAGAUGGUGCUGAGUCAAGCAGGGCGUUGACCUCAUCAACCGAUCUGUCAAUAUCAAAAUCAAAACCAAAGUGAGUUAAACAUGUUUGUAAAUGAUCAUCACUAAGGUUUGAAAGAAAAGUGUCAUCAACUAAUGCUUCGAUUAAAUCCACAUCAACAAUUCCAUCAUCUGCACUGUGAGGUUGUUUGGCAAUGUUGAAGAUGUUCAACUCCAUAGUCAUGUUGCCGAAGGACAAUUGCAUAUUUCCGGUCCUACAUUGAAUGUGAGCAUCCGCAGUUGCCAAGAAAGGUCGGCCUAGAAUAAUGGGGAUGUGCUUCCUUGAAUCCUGUAUUGGUUGAGUGUCAAUUACAAUGAAAUCAACAGGAAAAUAAAACUUGUCUACCUGGAUAAGCACGUCCUCCACAAUACCACGAGGUAUUUUCGUGGACCGAUCUGCAAGCUGUAACACCACUGGAGUUGGGUGUAAUUCUCCCAGUCCAAGUUUCACGAAUACAGAGUAAGGCAAAAGAUUUACACUAGCUCCUAAAUCCAACAAAGCAUUCUCAAUUGUGUGGUUCCCUAUACUACAUGAGAUAGUGGGGGAGCCUGGGUCUUUGCAUUUUAAAGGAAUUUUAUGUUGGAGUAUAGAACUAACGUUUUCUGUUAAAAAUGCCUUCUUUUGAACAUGCAUGUUUCUCUUUUUAGUACACAAAUCUUUAAGAAACUUGGCAUAAGAUGGAACUUGGUUUAUAGCAUCAAGUAAAGGGAUGUUAACACUUACCUGUUUGAAGAUUUCGAGAAUCUCACCUGUAGAUUUUCCCUUUUUUCCUUUCGCUAACCUCUGAGGAAAUGGAGCUUUGGGAACGUAUUCUCGUGGGUUGGCUUCUUCUCUCUCCUCCGGUGGUGAGUCCUCAACAUUCACAGGUACAAUUUGAUUUUCUUUUGUCACCGGCAUCUCCACUUUGUUGUCGACUUCUUUUCCUUUUCGCAAGGUCAUUACUGCUUUGACUUCUCCAUGCUGCUGUGGUGAACUGGUACUUGCUUCAUGCACUCCUUUAGGGUUAGGCACUGGUUGACUUGGAAACUUACCUUUCUCAACGGUCAUUGCCAAGGUCUGAACUGAAGAAGCAAGUUGUCCCACCAUCUUCUCAAGGCUUGAAACUGAUUGAGCUUGUGAGUUGAAGCCUGCUCUCAACUCAUUUCGUAGUCCAUCAAUGGUGCGGUUCUGUUGCUCAAUCGUGGAGUGAGUAAGAUUCUUAAGAUUCUGGAAUGAAUCCUCCCAUGGUCUGGGCUGAGAGUAAUUCUGGUUCUGAUUGUAUGGUCUAAAUGGUGGCUGAGAGGCUUGAGAAGUUUGAGAAAUUUGUUGCAUUGGUGGAGCUGGAGCUGCUGGUCCAUUCUGUUGGAAUCCUUGAGACCAUGAAAAAUUGGGGUGAUCUCUCCAUCCAGGGUUAUAUGUGUUGGAGUAUGGGUUGUAAUUUGAUGGCUUUCUCAUUACACCUAUGGCAUUGGCUUGAUCUGAGUAUGAGUCAUGGUCAUGUGGUUCUGUUGAUUUAGCAGUCGAUAAUGAUGCUAUUUGUCGAGCAAGACCUUCAACCAUCUCCUUGACUUCUUUGAUUCCUGAAGUUGACUCGCCAAUGUGAACCUCAUUCACUCCUUUAAUCCUUCUAGUAUUCCUGAGUGAUCGACUCCGUUGUUGGGAAUUGUCCGCUUGUCGCUGGAAGAAUUCCCAAAUUUCUGACACACUUUUUGACAUUAGCUCUCCUCCACUUGUUGCCAUUAGCCAUUCUUGCACAUUCGGCAAUAAUCCCUCCAAAAAGUAUUGGCAUUGGUGCCAUUUCUCGUACCCAUGAUGUGGACACUUCAAGAGUAGCCCAUUGAAUCGCUCCCAUGUUUCAAAAAACUGCUCGUCCUCUCUCUGGGUAAACUCCGAGAUUUCCCUGCGAAUAGCGUUGGUUUUAUGCACUGGGAAAUAUUUAUUUAAAAAUUUUGUAACCAUUUGUUCCCAUGAUGAAAUGCUAUUGGCAGGUAAAUUAUUUAACCAUGAACGAGCUCUAUCCUUUAAAGAAAAUGGGAAUAGUCUAAGUUUAACAUCAUCGUCUGAAAAAUUUUCAUAUUUAAAAGUUUGACAAAUGGCAUGAAAAUCGUUCAGUGAUUAUAUGGAUCCUCAUUUUCUAGGCCAUAAAAUGUGGGGAGACAAUUUAGCACACUAGGUUUUAGUUCAAAGCUCCUAGCAGCUACAUUAGGGUAUCUUAUGCAUGAUGUGCUCAAAUUAGCUAAAGGACUGAAGUAGUCCUUAAAUGGCCUCUCUUGUGGUUGCAAAUCCAUUUCAAAUUUAUUUUUAAUGUGCUUUUGUGUGCGAAGUGUUUUUUCUAAUUCAAGGUCUAUAGGUUCAAGAUUAGGUAAUAAUGACCUACGACCAUGCAUGCAAAACAAAUAAAAAGAAAAUAAAGAUGGGAACAAAACAAAUAAAAAUAAAGAAGAGGGAGAAAUUACGAUACUAACCUUAUUGCGCUAUUACAACCUUACUAUAAAAAUACACAAAAACAAAUAUGUGAAAUAAAUUAACUAAAAAUAAAUUAAUAAGAUAAACAAAAAAAAAUUACAAAGAAAAAUAAAUUAAAAAUUAAAUUACAGAAUUUUACAGAAGAGAAAAAGAAAAAAAAAUACUAACCUUUAAAUGCAGAUUCAAUUUUUUUUUCUUUUUUUUUUAAUAAAAAAAAUUACAAGAAAAUAAUUAAAAGAAAUUGUUCACAAAAAUUAAUUCUAUGAAUUAAAAUUACUUACCUCCCCGGCAACGGCGCCAAAAACUUGUUGUGCAAAUUUUAAUGUACUCGCAAGCGCACGAAUCUAUUGUAGUAUAGACUAAUGGUGACGAGUGUCGAUCCCACGAGGAGGUGGAUUUUAAUUAUAUGUAGAAUUAAUUUUGUAAAUGGGUAGUUGGAUUUAUGGUGGAAAUGAUUUGGAAUAUGCUAAUAAUUAAAUUAAAAUGGCGAGAAUAAAUUCUAAAAUUGGAAUUGCAAUUGAGAGAAUAAAUUGAAGAGAAAAUCUAUUAAAUUGACGUACUUGGGUAUCUGGAUCCGUAUCAACAUGCAUCAUGGGCUAAAUAUUCCUUAUUAAUACCAAUUAAAUCAUGAGGGGGGAAUCCACACCUCAUGAACCACGCUCUAAUCAAUAUGGUGCUAAGCGCUUAUCGUGCCAAAUAAUAAUAACCUUGUACCAGAGGGCCGGUGAAACCAAGGCGGUACUAGACAAGAUUAGUAUUAUUUGUCGACGAGAAGUCAAAACAUCCACAAAAACUAGAGGGGAAGAGAAAAUAAAUUUACCAAAUUAAGCCCAUGACACAUGUUGAGACUUCACCUUCAACCCAAGCUUGAAAGAAAAUUAGCCACUCAUAAUUGAACUAGGGGCAAAAUGGGAAUUUAUUAAAAUACAAAGAAAAUACAAGAUGGAGAGGGAAUUACAGAAAAUGGAUCCCAAAAAUGGAUUCAGAGAUAUCAAAUUAGGGGGGGGAGGCCCCCUUUUUAUAGAUACAUGGAGUAAAUCAUGGCCAUCGGAUUAAAAACAGUUUGGACGCUCAGGAUUGCGCCACGUCAUCAGUCAACAGUCCACGGUUUGACCACGCGGAUGAACAGUAACACGGUUUGACCCGACUUUGAACAGUAACGCGGUUUGACCCGGAUGAACAGUAACGCGGUUUGGUUGAAAAUAAUCCUGUGUGAUGCAUGCACUGUACGCGAGAUUUUUCGUCCACUGAUAUGCUGCCACGUCACCAUCAACAGUGCAUAAGAAUUUUAGUCCAACAGGAUCGUGACACCUCAUCAGUCAAUGCCACAUCAUCGGUCAAUGCCACGUCAUCAUCCGUUUAUGUGAACAGUGUCGUGAACAGUAACGUAUACAGUACCGUACACGUGAAUAGUACCGUACAUGUGAAUAGUGCCAUUUUUCCUUUUAUGCUCCUCCUAAGGUUUUCGACCGUCCUGAGUUCAAAAGUGAUGUCCGUUUUGCCGUCUGAUCUCUCCUUUAUUGUGAAAUGACUAUAAUGCCCCUAAAAUACAUAAAAUACUUAAUUAAAAUAAAACACAUGUAAUUAAAUCACAAGAAGGUUAAAUAUAUAACAGUAAGGGUUGUUAGUAAGACUUAAAAUGUAAAAUGACGGUUUUCUCCUUUAUAAAUAUGCAUUUUCUAACACUCAACAAUAUGCAAAAGGGUUGGAGAAGGAUUUAGAGUGAGGAUAAACUUUGAUUCAAGGUGGAGAAUUGUGAGAUGAAUGAAUCAAGUUUGGUUCCAGAAACGACCACGUUUUGGAGCUGUAAAGCUUCAUUAAACUCACGUGCUUAUCAGCUGGUUAGCAACAGAAAACGAAUUGAUCAAAACGACAGGACUUGAGCGCGUUUUGCAUAUCAGUUUAAGUAACCACGUGAGGAAGCAUGUGACGAAGGUUAUCAGAGUUCGUUAAGGUUGUUAAACCACGUGGCAUCGAGCUGUUUAUUCUGGAAAUCAAGCUGGCUACUUAGAACAGAGUAUAAAGGCUGAGUUUCUGAGGUGAUUCAUGACGAUCUUCAUGAGUCUUGCAGAGAGGGUUUGCAAAGAGAGAAAGUGUUAAUCUGUUCUCUGUAACGUCUGUUGUAAGGCUCUGUAACAAUCUCCAUUGUAAUAUCAAUAAAGCUCAUCUUGAGGCUUCUCCCGUGGAUGUAAGCUGAGCAUUCCAUGCUCAGCUGAACCACGUUAAUCUUGGUGUCUGUGGUUCUUUUCUUGGUUCUUGUUUCAGUUUCUUGUUUGUGUUCAUUGCUAUUGUGCUUUGUUGUUCUUGGGUGAAUUCGUCUGAAUAAAUCUUGGGGGUGUGCAACUUGCAUUGACUAAAUCACAAGCAUCCUAGGGCAGUGGUCAGUUUAGUUUGGUUAUAGGCUUGCUGAUUCACUACAGUUACCAUGUCCCCGCAGGCACCCAACUGUUUGUUAACGCUUGGAAGAUUCAACGCGACCCAAGUGUAUGGGAGGAGCCAUGUCAGUUUCAGCCAGAAAGAUUUCUUACGAGGUAUAAGGAUAUUGAUGUUAGGGGGCAAAAUUUUGAAUUGAUACCAUUUGGCAGUGGAAGACGAAUGUGUCCUGCAGUGUCAUUAGGCCUCCAAGUUGUGCAACUAACGCUUGCUUCAUUAGUGCAUGCGUUUGAUUUCACAACCCCAUCAGAUGAACCGGUUGACAUGGGAGAGGCAAUGGGCCUAGCCAUUGCUAAAGCUACACCACUUGAAGUGAUUCUUAGUCCACGCCUUUCUGCUUCUUUAUAUGGUUAAAAUUAGCUUGUGUACUUGUUAAGGCAAAAAUAAGUUGUACUUUUCAACAAUUUAGGGUGCGUUUGGGACAUGUAUUGUAUUAUGUUUUAUUGCAUUAUUUUAAUAUUAGUGUAUUGUAUUAUGCUGUAUUGCAUUAAGACUGUAUUAUAAUAAUAUUAUGCAUGUUUGGUUCUACACUGUACUGUAAUAAUUUUUUUGAUUAAUUUAAAUUAAAUAUUAUAUUAUAUUAUAGUAUAUUAAUAUACUUAUAUUGUAUUAAUAUUUUAUAUUAUUAUUAAUUUUAAAUUAAUAUUAUUCAAAUUUAACUAUUUAUUAUUAGUUAUAAUAAAUUAUAAAUUUAUUAAUAAAUUAUAAUGUAAAAAAAAUAUAAUAUAAUAAUAUUGAAUAAUAAAUUACAUGUUUAUUAAUUUAUAUUAAUAAUUAUAAUAUAAAAAUAAUAUUAAAUUAAAAGUUAUAUUUAAUAAUAAUAAUAAUUAUUAUUAUUAUUAUAAAGUAAAAGUCAAAACGCAAAACUCAAAAAGCAAGACUCCAGCGAUAGUUGCAAAAGCAAAAAAGGGAGAGAGAGAGAAAAAAAAAAAAAACAAAACAAGCAGCAAUUGCUGCAUUAAGUUAAACCCGACUGUGAGUCGGGUAGCUAAUGCGGCAAUUGCCGCAUUAGUUUGGACUUUUAAUAUGAUGGCCCUGUAGCUUUUUAUUUGCUAAACAUGAGCUUGUGUUUAUAUCAAUGGGUGUCAUCACCGUGCGUUUAUCACAUUGUAUUAUAUUAAAGGUGAGUUUGACAUAUUAUAUUACAUUGUAUUAUUUAACGUUUGAUAAGUUGCUUUUGACUGUAUUAUGUUAACAUUAUAUUAUAUUAAUGUUAUAUAAUAUUUGAUAUUAUACUGUACUAUAUUAAUUUUUAUUUAUUUUAUGUUUGGUGUUGCAUUGCAUGGCAUUAUAUUAAUUGUUUUGGUGAAAAAUUUAGAUUACAAGUUGGGAAAAAAAUAUUAAUUAGUACUUAGAAAAAAAUGAUAAAGUAGAUGUUGUAAAUUUUAUAAUUUUUUACAUCAAUUAUAUUUUAGUAUAAAUGCAAAAGAUAUCACAAUUCUUUUGAAUAUAUGUAAAAUUAAAAAAUUCUAAAAUUUUUUGUGUGUAUAUAUACACACACAGGAGCAGUUCUCAAAUAUAUAUCUUGUGAAAUAAAGAUCAAAGAAAAUAAUUCAAUCAAAUAAUCUCUAAAAAUUAUCAUAACAUAAAUAAAUAGAUAAAAGCCAUCUCAUGAUAAAGAUGACAACAAAAGAAUUUACAUAUACCACAACAAACUAGAACCCUAAUCACUAAAUAAAAUGGAUUGAACAAUGCACCAAACUCAGUUCAAUUUAUAGCUGGAGGACGUUCUAAUUCUGUUGGUUCUUCCAGGGCUCUGGCUCACUGGUGGUGCCAUAAGCCCCUAUGGACGGGCCCUCUUCAUGAUGUUACACACAUCACAGAAAUUAAAUUCAGCUGAGAAGUGGGAUGGGUUGGUAAUGGCACAUGAACUGAUCUGGGAAAAAUUUUAUCACGGAUGAUAGAUGGAAGUGACCCCAGAUUGCCAUUUGGAUACAUCAAACUGGAAGAGGUCCUUGACUUACGUUAAUUUCUUCGGUUUGUUAAAUGACAAUCCUAUUCUUCUGUCAUUUAUUCUGCAUUGUUGUGUUGAAAUUCCAUGUAGCUGGUGAUUUUUCUAACUUCAUUAGAUGGCAAGCCGUGCAAAGAUUAAUUCUCCUUCCUUAGAGACCAUGAUGAGCGCCAUGCAAAAGGUAUUCUUGCAGUAGACUCUUUAAAGUGUUUAUUACAUACCAAGCCUUUGUGUCAUAUGAAGGAUUGAUAUCUUGGGAAAGCUGUAAAAUAAGGCAGCUAUUCUUCCCUCAACUGGGCAUAAAGAAACGAUGUCCACAGCUCCAUUCUGCAUUUCCUUGUAUGACCAUGCCUAGUGACUAUUGCAGGAGGGAUACGUAGCAAGUAGGUCACACAUUGCUUCCAAUGCAAUCAAGACAAAUUGUCCCAUGGUAGUAUGCAUCAGGAUUGCCAAGGAACUUCAGGGCUGCCAAAAAACAUAGGCUAAGUGAUGUUGGUAUGGACAAGACUGGCAGCAGAAGCCAUGCCUAGCUUUUCCGGAAGCAAUCAGAAUUUAGCGAUGUAACUGCGUCUCCGUAGACAGGAGUUGACUGCCCAUAUGCACCCAAGGGAUACAAAUAUUUUUUUUUUAGGCCAACUGCAAGAUUUUGAACGGAACGAAGGCCGCAAUGAAUUAUGAAAAGGGUGGAUUAAAAUGAUUUUAAUUAUAUUGACUUGGAAGAAACCGAUUCCUGAGUUUCAGUAAAAAAUCAUGAAUUGAUUUUAAUAUAGUUUCAUACAAGGUAUACUUUGACGCAAUUAUCACCGAUUAACUAAUAUAACAUAAUUAAAUUUAAAGUCAUUUUGUUUAAAUAAAUCAAUACACAUCAUAGCUGAAAAUAUAGACUUAGGAUUCUUUCCUAGUCUUUUUUUUUUCCCUCUCGUAGUCUCUCUCAAUAUUCCAAUUCUAGUUAAAAAAAAAUUGACUUAAUAGUAAACAAAGUGAAACAAGUCUGCCUAAAUUAUUAACAUUAAAAUUCAAAAAAUUCAAGAGUCAAGACUACUCAUUUUAGAGGCUAUUAGAGAAAAAAGAUUUGAAGAGGGUUCACGUUCAAAAAUAUAAAUAAUACAUCAUACAAGAUCCUUAAACAUUAUUUGAUAUGUCAUUACAUUUAUAAAUGACAAGUCAUUCAAUUUUCACUCUAGAGUAAAGAUUAUACAAAAUGUUAUCUGCCAUAAAAUUAUAAACAACAUAUACCGUAUCUGACGAAUUUCAAACAAAUAAUUUAACUCCAAGUAAGAAUCAACAACAUUUUACCUAUUUAGUAUCUUAAUUUCUUUUGAAUUCCAACUGAAAUAACAUUUAUUUAUUAAAUGGUAAAUUAAAAAUUUCAUGAGUUAUGAAGUUCAUCAUAAUGAGUCAUAUAAUAUUGAGAGUCAAGUUGAAACUCAAAUAUUAAAACUCCUAAAUUAGCUAACAUAAAAUUAAGAAACUCAUUAAAUAUGUAUAAAUGUUUAUAAUUAACUUAUUUUGCAGCUAAUUUUUCCAACUUGAAAACAUGUUAAUUCCAAAGGUCCCUUAAGAUGAAGAUUCCUAAUUUCACCUUAACCUUGGUGUGACAGUAAGCUUGACUUGAUAACCUUAAAAGGGUUAACAACUAGAGCCUAUCAAACUUAAUGGAACAAGUGUGAAAUACCUUCUCAAUAUACUGAAAUGAAUUCCUACCACUACAAAAUUUUAUAAUUGUCAUUGAAAUUAAAAAUCCCAAAAUUUUAACAAUAAUUCUUAAGACUUUGAAAAAGAAUAAGCGGGAAACAUUGAAACUUCCUACACAAAAUUCAAGUGCUUGUAGGUAUCUAAAACCAUAAUAGCAGAUUAAGAAUGGAAUAGACUUCAUGGGCGAACUGGAACUCCGAUGGCUGGGCGUGGCGCUUGACCAGGCUGACCAGGCUUUGGCAAAUCAUCCUGAAUGAAAAGGAAAAAAAAGAAAAAAUAUAUAUAUAUAAGAGCCAAUGAAGAAAAUUUUCAAGUACGCAAGCACAAAUGAAGACCAUAUAAAACUGACAAGCUUAACCAUUUUUCAAAUGCUACAGAAAUCACACAGCAACUAUCCCAAGACCAAAAACAUCCUCAAUUUGGGCUUUUAGUUCCCGGUAAAACAAAUGAAAAAGCUACCACACAGAGACAUAACACUGUCUCCUUUUUUUCCUCACCCCCCCCCCCCCCCCCUCUCUCUGCGGCUAACCCAGAAGUAAGCUUUUUUAACAGGCUGAAUGAGGAUAUUACUACUGGCAAGGAAAUCCUUGUGAUAAAACAGACUAGGUAAGUGGUCUAUCUGCCUACAUCUAUAAACCAUAAAUCAUUCUAAAAAUCAAUAUGAACAGAGAGCAUUAGCCAAAACCCUGAUUAAAAAAUCUCAAUAGAAACAUGCAAAAGAUACCCUGCGUCUCAUAAAACGCUUUGGUGGUUCACGGUUCCUGCGGUCAGUGCGCGAGCGAACCCUCACCACAUGCGAGUGAAUUGCACAGGAGACACAGUACUGCAUCUUUGCAUACAACUUAGGCAGAACAUAGUCUGCAUCAAAUAUAAAAGAUUCCCAUUAUUUCCCAUUCAAACAAUACAUAAUUAAUUACAAAAUAAGAGAAAUAAUAACAUGUGUACUAGAUAUUUACUAUCAUAGAUGCAGGCAUCCUGCACGUCUCUGACAGCAGCUUGCUCAACAAUGUUCCUCACAAGGAACCUCUUGAUGGCCUUGUCCUUUUCAUCCAUUCACAACCCAAAAUUAAAAAAAAAAAAAUUGUGUCAAAUUACAAUAAACAAAAGGCAUAUAAAUUAAUUUUUAAAUGCAAACUUAACAUCAUUACAACAACUCUAGUCUAGUCUAACUGUAUGAUUUGACCAAUACAUCCGCAGAAUUUAUCAUGACACAAGUUUACAAAAAAUAUGGAAUAACUGAAAAAAUGAAUCUUCUUUCCCGUAAUGCCACACAAUUGCCUCAUUUGGGGGGGCAAAAUUCUCAAUGUUCUUGAUUUUUAUCAAAAUGACCAAAACAAAACAGGGAACCAUGUAAUACUAAUAAUAAUAAAAAAGAUACAAUUUUAGUUAAUUAAAGCGAUACAAAAAUCAAAACAAAAUGCAUACUUUGGGGCAGCAUUUGCCGCAGUUGGAGCAGCGGAUGAAGUUGACGUGGCCACGGCCGUGCUUGUUGCGGCCGCCGUUCCGGCGCUUGAAGGUCUGUCAUAGAAAAAAAAAUAUAAUAAAUCAAAUUUAUAUUAAAUAAAAACAAUUCUUUUUUUUUCAAUAAGAAUAUUUUUGGAAAUCAGAAAGAUAAAAUAUUUUCGCAAACCAUUCUGUUUUCUUAAAGGGAUGAAGGCGGCGACAGGCGAGAUUUGGUUGUUUGCUCGACUCAAAGUGCGGCAGGGCUUCUGAAAGUACAAGUUACGCGGCACUUUUAUACGGAGGAGUGACUUUCCAUAAUUGCGAAUUGAGGCCUCUUUUUUAUAAUAUUUUCACAUUGCCCCUAUUAUCUUGGAUGGUGAGGAUUGGAUUAUGAUUAUAGAUAAGUAAAUUCGGACGGACCGUUUGAGACUUAACGAGAUAAUGAUAGAUUUUUAAAAAAAUUAAAAUUUGAUCAUAUUUUAUAAAGGUAAAUAGUUAUUUUUAUUUUUAAAAAUUUAAUAAAUAACUAUAUUUGAUCUCUUUUUAUUUCUUUCGCCAACCUCCAUCACUCAGUUAAACUUAUGAUAAAUUUUUAAAUAAUUUGCUAUCUCUCAACAUAAUUCAAUACUCAUAAUAUACCAUUAGUCGAGACCUACUGUGAUCUUCGAAUACCAGAUAAUUUAAUACACUAAAAAAAAAAUACCAUUAUCAUCAGUUCAAUCCUUUUACACACACUCUUUCAACUUCUGCCAACUCUAUAUCUCCAGCAAAAGAAGUAGUGAUGAUCUCCCCUUUGCAAUUUUUGACAACCAUGUCUAAAGCCCAACCAUCAUUCCUUCUGAAGUUGAGAUUGCUGCACGAGUGAAAAAGAAUAUUGAAAUUGAAUUAUUAAUUUGGAAGAAUUUCACAACACAAUUAAACAGUUAUUGAAUGUAUUUGAGUCAUUUGACCGUAUAUUUUUUUGUUAAAAAAAACCCAUAUCUAGGUUCAGUUACAAAAGCCAAAUCUCUCAAAUCAUGUGUCUAGAUUCAAGGACCACAAACAAGAGAUUCCAAGAACUUGUUAACACCCUUUUAGAAAACUUGAUUUUGGAUUUUCAUGCUUGGACAAUGGCUUCUUGGAUUCCUCUCCAGUGACUCCAAUUUUGUCAUACAAUUGAUUGAAAUUGAAUGGCUAAUGCUCGAUUGAUACUCUUAAGUCUUAUCGAGAUUUUGAGCCCGGCAUAGUUUAGGAGUUUUAUAAGUUUAAAAAAUGGGGUGGCUGAAAAAUAGGCUGAUGAAGAAUUUAAACAAAAAAAAAAAAAGUUCGAAUAUCACUCAAAUUUAAUUCUUUUUUAUUUAAAAAAACUGAUGAUUUUUAUUUAAAAGAAUAAUAUUAAGUCCCUCAAGUUUUUUAUUUUUAACUAUUUGUAUCUUUUCUUUAAAACUUAUUAUACUCAUAAGAUAUCAACAGUCAAUAUUCAAAAUAACUUUUUCUAAAUAUCAAAACAAUCAUCAUAAUCAUUAUUAUUAUUAUUUCGUGUAAUAUAGUUAAAGGGACAAAAAUCUAAGGGUGAAAUAAAAGUGGUAUUUAAUAGAAUUUAUAUAAUGACAAAAGCCAAGUGGACCCAAGUGAUAAAACUGUUUAAUUGAUGGACAGAAGAUCAAUUUUCAUUUGUGUUGCCGACACCACAGUUUGGUUUACGCUUCCCGACCCAUGAUAUAGGAGAAGUCUAUGUUACAGCUUCUGUAAGUAGCAGCAGCCAAUAGGGAACUUCCACGGGUGCUAGAGGAGAGAGAAAGAGGUCCCAAUGCAAGGUGAUGGAAAUGGGAAAGUUCGAAGCUGUUACUUGCAGCUUCUGCACCUUAGCCAUGUCCGGAUAUUCAGGACCAUGCACUUUUGUCAUCCCAGACAAUUUUUCAUAAUUAAAACAAAACAAGUGCUGCGUCCUGUGGCUGAUAUUUAGAGCAAAUGAAGUUUACCAAGUCCUCCCAUAAAAAUAUCAUAUCCCACCAUUUUCUCCAACCAUUUUAAAGGUUGAAAUUACAAGAGAAGUCGUAUCAUAUCUAUGUACUAUGUUUAUCACAAUUGUUUGGCAACCACCAAAUUCGCCGUAUAAAGUCAUUGAUUAAUCAGAAAAAUAUACCAUCGUCGAAAACUUCGCCAUUGUGGCCCCUGAUGUAUAAAACUGACCAUAGGAUUAGCAAAGGUUUGUCAGCUAGCGGAACUUACGUGUACGUCAUGCACACUUAAAUGUUAUCUAUAUACUGUGUAGGCAUUGCUCUGACGUAACCUCUUCAUUCAGAGUCCCCGAGUCAGCUGCAAGGGAAUGGCCAUGAAUAAUCUUUCAGCAGAAUCAACUGUUGCUGCAGCAAUUUCAGCCUUAGUGAUAUUCCUCUCAAUUUUCCUAUUGAUUUCAAGAAAUGGGCAAAAAAGGACACUCAAGAAGAAGCAAGCUCAACAAGCACCGGAAGCAGGGGGAGCAUGGCCUUUGAUAGGCCACCUACAUAUCUUACGAGGGUCAGAGCCAGCUCACAGAGUUUUGGGCAACAUGGCUGACAAAUAUGGACCGAUAUUCACUAUGAAAUUGGGAGUGAAGCAAGCUUUAGUGGUGAGCAACUGGGAAAUUGCCAAGGAGUGUUUUACCACAAACGACAAAGCUUUUGCAGGUCGCCCCAAAACAAUGGCCACGGAGCU